AUUAGUAUGGGCAGACUGCCUGGGAAGGCUGAGGGAUCUGUGUGUGAGAGACACACUUUCUGAGGUCACUUCUCUGUUCAUUAAUAAAGUAUGAACAGCUAUAUAGUCAUCUGGACCCUCAUCUUGUUCUACCUGAUUCCAGAUAUCUGUUCCGUGGAUCAGAAAUGCAGACUUCCAAGUAUAUCCGAGCUUGAGGGUAUAACACAACCUGGGGAUAUCACAAUAGGAGUAGUAUUACCUAUUCAUGUGGACAAGAUUUACCAAAAGAUCUCUUUCGAUAAGAGACCUCCAAGGACCAUGUGUACACUGUUCAGCUUGGACUACUAUAACUUGUUUCAGACUCUUGUAUUUGCUGUAGAGGAGAUCAACCGGAAUCCUAACAUUCUGUCCAACAUCACUUUGGGGUUCCAGGUGUACGACACUUGCAGUGUGCCUCAGUACGAGUUACAUGGAGCCCUCCAGUUUCUAUCAGAGUCCAGCACAGCCGUACCCAACUACCGCUGCCCCUCCACGCCAACUGUCGCUGCAGUUAUUGGAUCUAUAUAUUCUUCAAACUCAAUAACUUUAGCCAAUGUUUUGGGGGUCCUCAGAUACCCUCAGGUAUGCAGACAAGGAUUGUUUGUCAAUGUAUUUUGGCCUGGAGAGGUGAAAAUGUAAAUCAGUAAAACAAUUAAAAAAAUUAAG